rnacentral:lncRNA from 1 species
CUAGAAGGAAAAUUUUUUACUUAUUCUUCAAAGUAAAUCAGUAGCCUGGGCCUAUCGACAGGAGGCUGUCAGGCUUUACAAUCAAGACAACAACAUUUUGAGUUUCCAACGCACUCUGCGUCACUUCCGCUGCAUCCGUUCCUGGUACAUAAGCCAACACAUGGUGGAAGACUAAAUCCACAAUCGUUUUGUGGGAAACACUUACGGGGAGCAGUACGUUUAUCAGCAUCUGAC